rnacentral:rRNA from 1 species
AAUUUGAAAUCUGGCCCUUCCGGGGUCCGAGUUGUAAUUUGUAGAGAGUGCUUCGGGGGAGACCGCGGUCUAAGUCCGUUGGAACAUGGCGUCCCAGAGGGUGAGAAUCCCGUAUGUGACCGCGGCUCGAGCCCAUGUGAAGCCUCUUCGACGAGUCGAGUUGUUUGGGAAUGCAGCUCUAAAUGGGUGGUAAAUUUCAUCUAAAGCUAAAUACUGGCUGGAGACCGAUAGCGCACAAGUAGAGUGAUCGAAAGAUGAAAAGCACUUUGGAAAGAGAGUUAAACAGUACGUGAAAUUGUUGAAAGGGAAGCGCUUGCAACCAGACCUGCCCGUAGGCGAUCAACCGCUGUUCUCAGCGGUGCACUCGUUCUGCGAUCAGGCCAGCAUCGGUUCGGGCGGUCGGAUAAAGGCCUUGGGAAUGUAGCUUCCCUUCGGGGGAGUCUUAUAGCCCUCGGUGCAAUGCGGCCAGCCGGGACCGAGGACCGCGCUUCGGCUAGGAUGCUGGCGUAAUGGUUGUAAGCCACCC